GGAGUGCCCCCAGUGGUCAUUGUGGGUACUGCCAUCGCUUUUUACUCCAUUUCUUCACCUUGUUAGAGCUAAAGAUCGUAUGUGGGUUAGCCAAGGCAGGAAUGCACAUUUAGAAACAAAACACCUCCACUUGGUCACAUUUAAAACUCACCAGAGCAAUUUGUGAUUUUUCCUGUGAUUGUUGAAAGCCCCUGUUCUUUGAAGCUUUCUAUGUACUUGUAGGAUGCGACGCAUGUGCUCCAGUCUGUGUCUGCCAACACUCUGCUUUAGAAGACAGAUUCCUAAGAGCACUGGGAGUCCGGCUUCCAAAGAUGAAGAAGUGAACACGUGUACUGAAACAUUAACAGGAAAUCAACCUGCUUUCAUGCUUUCAAAUGAGUGCAUCAUCUCGCUAGUCGGUGGCGUGGCUGUGAGGAAGGAUUUGGGGGACGCCCAAGACAUCUCCACACUUAGUACAGAAACAAAUCUCUUACCGAAGCCCUCUACCAUAUGUGACAGUUGCAGGCUUGAAGUAUAAUCCUGUCAGUUUUUGUUAGCAAUUUAACAGGGGAAUAUAAAGAGGGGGUUUUAAGCUGCUGUGGAAAUAUUUUGGAGUGUCCCUGACACAAAGUCCCCUUUGCUGUCUGUUUCUGCAUCUCAAAGUACUACACACAAACAUGAAACUCACAGACGCCGGAUCAUCCGCUGUGAGCCGUUCAAUGUGAGCAUGGGCCCUUCCCCUUUCUUUCACGUUAGGUGAGACCAAACGGUGGGCGAGCAGACAUUGCAUCUUACCUAAAGAGGAGCGCAAUACAGCGGUCGUUCCCAAAUCUGUCAGCUUUCACAUUAAAAAAAAAAAAAAAAGGAUG
rnacentral:lncRNA from 1 species